UGUUCUUAGGGCUAAGCCAUGCACGUCUAGUACAAACUAAAUGAUGGUGAAACUGCAAAUGGCUCAUUACAACGGUUAUGAUGUACCCGGGAGUUCCGAUGGAUAUUUCCAGUAACACUAGAACUAAUACAUGUCCCUGCGUUUAUUAGUUUCGCACAGUCCGUCGCUGAGUCAUGGUAAACAGUUGAUCGACUCGACGUCCCGGAACAGUUUCCGCCCCAUCAGCUUCGAUGGUUGGGUAUUGGCCUACCAUUGCAACAACGGGUAACGAGGAAUUAGGGUUUGAUUUCGGAGAGGGAGCCUGAGAAACGGCUACCACAUCUACGGAUGGCAGCAGGCGCGCAAAUUACCCAAUGCAGACACUGUGAGGUAGUGACGAGAAAUAAUAAAGCGGGACUUCUGUUUCGCUAUUAUAAUGAGGAAUAACCAAAGGUCAUUCCGAUUAGCAACUGAUGGGAAAGUCUGGUGCCAGCAGCCGCGGUAAUACCAGCGUCAGUAGC
rnacentral:rRNA from 1 species